rnacentral:misc_RNA from 1 species
GAGUCGACUCAGCUGGAUCAUCUUGAUCACUAGACACUACUCUGUUUGUCUACUCGAUUCUGCUAAUCCCAAUACGCUUAACUACAGCGUUCCUUAUGGCUUCAGUUUGCAAGCACAGCCCAUUCUGCUCUAUACCAGACAUGUAAUUUCUCACUUCCUUCCGUAUCAUCUCUUGCAUCACUGCCAAAAACUCAGGACUGAAAAACUGCCUCUCAUACCCAACUCCGUUACGUUGUGCAGCUGGAGCUUGCUGCACCCCCGCCGCAGUUGGCGGUGCAACCGGUGUCUGUACAUCUUGUAUCGGGUUUACUCCGCGAUUGAAUCCGGUUCCUGACCCGGAAUUAGGUACUUGAAUUGAGGCUUUGCAAGAAUCGGAUCCAGGAAGAGAAAGGCUCAGAGAUGUUGGCGGAUCCGUGGUGGAUGAGGCAGCAUCGAUUGAAAGAAC